rnacentral:rRNA from 1 species
GACAGAGGUGCCGAGCGUUAGGCGGAAUCACUGGGCUUAAAGCGUGUGUAGGCGGGCCGUUAAGUGUCUUGUGAAAUCCCCCGGCUCAACCGGGGAAUUGCUGGGCAUACUGGCGGUCUUGAGCAAUCUAGGGGCAGAUGGAACAAGUGGUGGAGCGGUGAAAUGCGUAGAUAUCAUUUGGAACGCCCACGGUGAAAACAGCUGGCUGGGGAAGUGCUGACGCUGAGACACGAAAGCCAGGGGAGCGAACGGG